rnacentral:rRNA from 1 species
UACGUAGGGCGCAAGCGUUGUCCGGAAUUAUUGGGCGUAAAGAGCUCGUAGGCGGUUUGUCGCGUCGAAUGUGAAAACCCGGGGCUCAACCCCGGGCCUGCAUUCGAUACGGGCAGACUAGAGUUCGGUAGGGGAGUCUGGAAUUCCUGGUGUAGCGGUGAAAUGCGCAGAUAUCAGGAGGAACACCGGUGGCGAAGGCGGGACUCUGGGCCGAUACUGACGCUGAGGAGCGAAAGCGUGAGGAGCGAACAGG